rnacentral:rRNA from 1 species
UACGGAGGGUGCGAGCGUUGUUCGGAAUCACUGGGCGUAAAGCGCGUGUAGGCGGCCCACUAAGUCUGAUGUGAAAGCCCGGGGCUCACCCCCGGAAGUGCAUUGGAAACUGGUGGACUCGAGUCCCGGAGAGGAGAGUGGAAUUCCUGGUGUAGCGGUGAAAUGCGUAGAUAUCGGGAAGAACACCCGUGGCGAAGGCGGUUCUCUGGGACGGUACUGACGCUGAGACGCGAAAGCGUGGGGAGCGAACAGG